AAAAACAUAGCCCCCUGAAUAUAUAAAGGGUCCCGCCUGCCCAGUGGCCACCACAAGGCUAAACGGCCGCGGUAUCUUGACCGUGCAAAGGUAGCAUAAUCAUUUGUCUUUUAAAUGGAGACUUGUAUGAACGGCGAAACCUUUUUUAACUGUCUCCCACUCUGCCCUUUAAAACUCUUAUUUAUGUGAAGAAGCAUAAAUAUAUCAGAAAGACGAGAAGACCCUGUCGAGCUUCAGCCAAAAGACGAGUUAAAGAUCACUAACAAACCUAAAUAUCGUCAAAAGGCUUUGGUUGGGGCAACCAUGGAGAAUAGCAAUCCUCCAGGAUAAGCAGACGAAACCUCUUCCCUACUACAAAUUAGAGAACCAGGAACUGGUAAUCGGAAAAAGUUACCGCAGGGAUAACAGCGUAAUCCCCUUUAAGAGUCCUUAUUGACGAGGGGGUUUGCGACCUCGAUGUUGGAUUGGGGCCCCCUUAGGGUGCAGAAGCUCUAAACGGUUAGACUGUUCGUCUAUUAAAGCCCUACGUGAUCUGAGUU
rnacentral:rRNA from 1 species